rnacentral:rRNA from 1 species
CCUACGGGAGGCAGCAGUGAGGAAUAUUGGACAAUGGGCGCAAGCCUGAUCCAGCCAUGCCGCGUGCAGGAAGAAGCAUCUAUGGUGUGUAAACUGCUUUUGUACGGGAAGAAACACUGCUACGUGUAGCAGCUUGACGGUACCGUAAGAAUAAGGAUCGGCUAACUCCGUGCCAGCAGCCGCGGUAAUACGGAGGAUCCAAGCGUUAUCCGGAAUCAUUGGGUUUAAAGGGUCCGUAGGCGGUUUGGUAAGUCAGUGGUGAAAGCCCAUCGCUUAACGAUGGAACGGCCAUUGAUACUGCCAGACUUGAAUUACUAGGAAGUAACUAGAAUAUGUAGUGUAGCGGUGAAAUGCUUAGAUAUUACAUGGAAUACCAAUUGCGAAGGCAGGUUACUACUAGUUUAUUGACGCUGAUGGACGAAAGCGUGGGGAGCGAACAGGAUUAGAUACCCUGGUAGUCCACGCCGUAAACGAUGGAUACUAGCUGUUCGGGGUAACCUGAGUGGCUAAGCGAAAAGUGAUAAGUAUCCCACCUGGGGAGUACGUUCGCAAGAAUGAAAACUCAAAAGUAGAAUUGACGG